AACGCAAAUUGCACUCCCUGGUAUUCCGGGGAGUAUGCCUGUUUGAGGGUCGUUAGAAUAAAAAUCGAGGCGUCGCUCUUUUUUUUAAGGGUGAUCGUGUCGGAAUUGAGCCGUCUUUCAAAUGUUAAUUCAUGUCAAAGUGGCUUAAAAUUCAUCCAUCCGGUACGAUUAAAGCGUAUUUAAGAUCAAUUUUGAUUAAGAACGCGCGAUGACGUACCAUCUCAUGUAGUACGUUUGACUUGGCGUCGUCAGGAUCAUUCGUAUACGAUACUCAACUUUUGACCUCAAAUCAGGUAAGAAUACCCGCUGAACUUAA
rnacentral:misc_RNA from 1 species